UACGUAGGGUGCAAGCGUUGUCCGGAAUUAUUGGGCGUAAAGAGCUCGUAGGCGGUCUGUCGCGUCGGCUGUGAAAACUCGGGGCUCAACCCCGAGCCUGCAGUCGAUACGGGCAGACUAGAGUGCUGUAGGGGAGACUGGAAUUCCUGGUGUAGCGGUGAAAUGCGCAGAUAUCAGGAGGAACACCGGUGGCGAAGGCGGGUCUCUGGGCAGUAACUGACGCUGAGGAGCGAAAGCGUGGGGAGCGAACAGGAUUAGAUACCCGUGUAGUCC
rnacentral:rRNA from 1 species